AAGCGGGGCAGGCUAGGGGCGGGGCCUGGGGCGGGGCCUCCCGCUCCGACUCUCGCCGCUCCGUCCAUCCCCAGCGAGAGAAAGACAGAGAGAGUCGGAGGAGCCCGCGGUGCCUCGGCCCAGACGUCGCCUCUCUAGCAGCCCGCGGCAUCAUGGAGCCUCCGGGCCCUGGCUGGGCCUCGCGCCCGCGCCCCCUCCCCGGCCCCGGCCGGGCCCCGAGCCUCCUGCUCCAGGCGCUGCUACUGCCGCUGCUGCUCGGGGGAGCCCCAGGUGCCCAGGCUGUGCCCCAGGUAUCAGCCCCCCACUUGGUGGAAGUCUUGAAAGGGGAGCCAGUGACCCUGAACUGUGCCCUCUUCAGGUCCGGAAGCAAAGAAAAAGUGGUGCUGGAGUGGUUUAAUAUAAGCCGCUCAGGAGCCUCCACCUUGCUGGCUCUUGCUGAGGGACGAAUGGGAUCUCUGAAGAAGACUGAGGACACAGUGCCAGGCCGAAACACUCGCUUUCAACUGCUUCCCAACGGGAACCUUCAGCUGGCCUCUGCUGAGGCGGGGGAUGAGCAGGACUAUAUGUGCAGAUUCAGUACUGGACAGCAGACAGGGUAGAGGCCACCAUCCGACUCCGAGUCUUUGUGGCCCCUGAGCCCCCUGAGGUCAUACCCAACAAGGGAACAAUUUCAGUGAUUGACGCCAUAGCCCAAGAGAUAGCCACCUGUACCAGUCGAAAUGCCAACCCUGCCCCCAACAUCACUUGGUACCGGAAUGGGGAGGUUCUGGAGGUUCCCACAGAGCUGAACAGGGAGCUAUAUGCCGUGAGCCGCACUGUCCGAGAAGCCUCCGGCCUCCACUCCCUCACCAGCAUCCUCUACUUUCGGCCCAAGAAGGCUGAUCGCGAUGUCGCCUUUCACUGCAGGGUCAACUACCACC